CCUACGGGGGGCUGCAGUGGGGAAUAUUGCACAAUGGGGGAAACCCUGAUGCAGCGACGCCGCGUGAGCGAUGACGUAUUUCGGUAUGUAAAGCUCUAUCAGCAGGGAAGCAAAUUACGGUACCUGACUAAGAAGCCCCGGCUAACUACGUGCCAGCAGCCGCGGGAAUACGUAGGGGGCCAGCGUUAUCCGGAUUUACUGGGUGUAAAGGGGGCGUAGACGGCUGUGCAAGACAGAUGUGAAAGCCCGGGGCUCAAACCCGGGACUGCCUUUGGAACUGGGUGGCUUGAGUGUCGGAGAGGCAGGCGGAAUUCCUAGUGUAGCGGUGAAAUGCGUAGAUAUUAGGAGGAACACCAGUGGCGAAGGCGGCCUGCUGGACGAUGACUGACGUUGAGGCUCGAAAGCGUGGGGAGCAAACAGGAUUAGAUACCCUGGUAGUC
rnacentral:rRNA from 1 species